AAAGGGAGACCUAAUUCAGGUAGGAGACGAAAAAAAAGUAGUCGCUACCAAGAAUCAAUCCCAAAAGGUCGGAGCGAGGCGAAAUUGGCUUUCAAACUAGGUUCUGGGUUCAAACAAGACCUGAAUCAGGAACAAGGGCUAUUAGCUCAGGUGGUUAGAGCGCACCCCUGAUAAGGGUGAGGUCCCUGGUUCGAGUCCAGGAUGGCCCACCUGUACAGGUGGCAAAAAGAAAGAAAAGAAGCGAGGAAUCAGCACCUUAUCUUAUUUAUAUAGUAAGAGAGAAUGCUGGCUCUGAGUUCAGAGUCCAGAGGAACCUUGAAAACUGCAUAGAGCUAGGUGAAAAAGCCAAAAAAGAAGACCGCAAG
rnacentral:tRNA from 1 species